UACGGGGGGAGCAAGCGUUGUUCGGAUUUACUGGGCGUAAAGGGCGCGUAGGCGGCCACCGCAAGUCAGUUGUGAAAGCUCUGGGCUUAACCCAGAAAGGUCAGCUGAUACUGCGGGGCUAGAGUGCAGAAGGGGCAACUGGAAUUCUCGGUAUAGCGGUGAAAUGCGUAGAUAUCGAGAGGAACACCUGCGGCGAAGGCGGGUUGCUGGGCUGACACUGACGCUGACAGCGCGAAAGCUAGGGGAGCGAACGGG
rnacentral:rRNA from 1 species